rnacentral:rRNA from 1 species
UACAGAGGGUGCGAGCGUUAAUCGGAAUUACUGGGCGUAAAGCGUGCGCAGGCGGUUGUGCAAGACAGAUGUGAAAUCCCCGGGCUUAACCUGGGAAUUGCAUUUGUGACUGUACGGCUAGAGUGUGUCAGAGGGGGGUAGAAUUCCACGUGUAGCAGUGAAAUGCGUAGAGAUGUGGAGGAAUACCGAUGGCGAAGGCAGCCCCCUGGGAUAACACUGACGCUCAUGCACGAAAGCGUGGGGAGCAAACAGG